rnacentral:rRNA from 1 species
UCCUACGGGAGGCAGCAGUGAGGAAUAUUGGUCAAUGGACGCAAGUCUGAACCAGCCACGUCGCGUGAAGGAAGACGGCCCUACGGGUUGUAAACUUCUUUUGUAAGGGAAUAAAGUGUAGUACGUGUACUAUUUUGCAUGUACCUUACGAAUAAGGAUCGGCUAACUCCGUGCCAGCAGCCGCGGUAAUACGGAGGAUCCGAGCGUUAUCCGGAUUUAUUGGGUUUAAAGGGUGCGCAGGCGGGAGAUUAAGUCGGCGGUGAAAUUUUGCAGCUCAACUGUAAAAGUGCCUUCGAAACUGGUUUCCUUGAGUGUGGAUGAAGUAGGCGGAAUUUGUGGUGUAGCGGUGAAAUGCAUAGAUAUCACGAGGAACUCCGAUUGCGCAGGCAGCUUACUAAACCAUAACUGACGCUCAGGCACGAAGGCGUGGGGAUCAAACAGGAUUAGAUACCCUGGUAGUCCACGCAGUAAACGAUGAUUACUAGCUGUUUGCGAUACAAUGUAAGCGGCUGAGCGAAAGCGUUAAGUAAUCCACCUGGGGAGUACGUUCGCAAGAAUGAAACUCAAAGGAAUUGACGGGGGCCCGCACAAGCGGAGGAACAUGUGGUUUAAUUCGAUGAUACGCGAGGAACCUUACCCGGGCUUGAAAUGCAUCUGACCGGCCUUGAAAGAGGCUUUCCCUUCGGGGCAGAUGUGUAGGUGCUGCAUGGUUGUCGUCAGCUCGUGCCGUGAGGUGUCGGCUUAAGUGCCAUAACGAGCGCAACCCUCAUCAUUAGUUACCAUCAGGUCAAGCUGGGGACUCUAAUGAGACUGCCAUCGUAAGAUGCGAGGAAGGUGGGGAUGACGUCAAAUCAGCACGGCCCUUACGUCCGGGGCGACACACGUGUUACAAUGGGUGGUACAAAGGGCAGCUACCUGGCGACAGGAUGCCAAUCUCCAAAACCACUCUCAGUUCGGAUCGGAGUCUGCAACUCGACUCCGUGAAGCUGGAUUCGCUAGUAAUCGCGCAUCAGCCACGGCGCGGUGAAUACGUUCCCGGGCCUUGUACACACCGCCCGUCAAGCCAUGGAAGCCGGGGGUACCUGAAGUUCGUAACCGUCAAGGAGCGACCUAGGGUAAAACUGGUGACUGGGGCUAAGUCGUAACAAGGUAACCA